GGCCGGGUCCUCCGCAAUGGAUGCCCGUGAAAUUGGUCAGGUCCGGAAGGAAGCAGCCAUAAGCGGGAUGUUUCAUGUGCCGGAGAGUGCCUGGCUUUU
rnacentral:SRP_RNA from 1 species